GGCGUCGGUGCCAUGUUCUGUGACUGACUCAGCUGGCGCCGGACUGUCGGACGCCCGCCGGUCUGUCACAGAACACAAGACCGGCCGCAU
rnacentral:miRNA from 14 species